rnacentral:rRNA from 1 species
UACGGGGGGGAGCAAACGUUGUUCGGAAUCACUGGGCGUAAAGGGAGCGUAGGCGGCCAUGUAAGUGAGGUGUUAAAUCCCCCCGGCUCAACCGGGGACCUGCACCUCAUACUGCACGGCUUGAGUACAUCAGAGGAGACUGGAAUUCCUGGUGUAGCGGUGAAAUGCGUAGAUAUCAGGAGGAACACCUGUGGUGUAGACGGCUUUCUGGACCAUAGCUGACGCUGAGACACGAAAGCGUGGGUAGCAAACAGG